UGCAUAUUUCUAUGUGAUGUUUUCCUGAUGUUUUAGGGGGUUUUUGGGGAGUUUAUUAGAGUUAUGUUUAUGUAUGUUUGGUCCCUCAUUGGAGUCCACCUGUGUAGGUUCGGACCCGAGGAACCGAGGACCUCAGCAGUGAGAUAGCUGCUUCAGAGUCUGUAGAGCCUCAGCCAGAGGUGAGUGGAAUGAACCUUAAGUUUUUAAAUAAAUGAAAUAUAACUUUUUGGAGCAUGUUCAUGCAUCAUAUAUGCCAUGUGAUAUUUUAGGUUGUUUGCAUUAGUAUUCACGAAUAUGUUGCAUUGCAUAAUAUGAUGUGGAUGCGGAUUGGCUAUUGGAUGAUCCUCUAGUCCUCCUAUGGUAUGAUAUGAUGAUGAUACGGUAUGGAUUGCCAGUGAGGCCCAUUCUACGCCCCUGGACUAUGUUAAGAGAAAGACCAGUGAGGCU
rnacentral:lncRNA from 1 species